AAAAAAGCUAAUUUAAAUAAAAUACUUGAUUUCGACUUAAGAUAUUUUGGUAACAACUCCAAAGCUUUUAU
rnacentral:tRNA from 1 species